UUCUGUUCGGAGGGUUUAUCUCUCGCGCUUUCGGAACUAGGUGGACGUUCUGGUGCUAUAGCUGGGGCGCUAACAGGUGUAUUAUCGCUUCUACCCUGAUUCAAAGCUAUCUGAGAUAACUGGGUGACCGCUUUUGACAAAUCGCCAAUAGCCUUCUUUCUGUCAGACAUCUGUGAAUGAAACAAAUGGAAUCGAUUUUCAACAGCCCGUUGAUAUCCUAUUGCCUCACCCUGUACUUGACCUCUACCUUGGGACGUUGUCGGCUGCUGUGCCCCUGCACCUUGUACCUGAGAUCCGGCUACCGCAUUGGUUCCUGACAGUGGUGCGUUUAUUGCUGAGACAUUUCCCCAAUUUGACCAGCUCUGUCUACAUCAUCCGGACUAUAUCUUUUCUUAUUUUUAGCCUGCGCUCGGGUCUCAGUGCUCAUAACUUGCUGCUACCCCAAUUUUCUUCUAGGGACACUGGCCAACAAUAAUAACUUUACACAAAAAAAAACAAAAAAAAAACUUUGACAUUCAAGCAAUACACAACAAUCAAUAUUUAACGGAAAAACUUCAAAAAAAAAAAAUAUUAUACAUGAGGGGAUUGUAAAGCGUGAUGUGUUGUGUGGUGUAUUUUUUGGAAUGUGAAAGACGAUAAUUAUUACACAAAAUAGGAAAAAAAUAGGAAUAGUGUUAUGAUACGCCAUCUACAUGAACCUAUCAAUUCCUGAUUCUUCUCCUUGGAAUACAGCUGGCCUCUAGAUGUAAUCUAAAGCGGUUAUCCCUCUGGUCCAAACUAGGGUCACUUCAAACUCCAAGCUGAAACUAUGUUAAUUAUAACUUUUAGAUCUGAAUAACGUGUGCAAAUACGACUUCAUAUAAAAACUCGUAUGUCACUCUGUAUUGGUCGUUUCUAUUCUAGCCCUUAGUCAUUGAGUUACAGAAUCUCGUACAACGGUUCUAUAUAUUCAUAAGAAUGGCUACGAAACCCUGAACCUCGCCUACUCUUAGUUACAAAUAUAAACGUUGGACUAUUGCAUUUAUCUAGUAUUCUAUUGCACAGUGUUUAGAUGAUCUACACUCUACUUUCUGAUACGACAUUUUAAACCGCCAUUCAUUUAUUGUUACACGCGCCUAUCGCAGCUUGAGGAUAUUUUCUGGGCACCGGCUAGCUUCGUCGACAUCUCUGGGGAGGUCCCAACCCUAUAUCCUCGCCCUAGGUCCAUAGACAAUAAAAAAACAAUAACAUCAAAUACAAAAAAAA
rnacentral:sRNA from 1 species